rnacentral:lncRNA from 1 species
AACUAUAACAGUAUUAGUAGUAGUAGUAACAGUGGUAAUAGCAGUACUAACAGUAGUAAAUAUAGCAGCAGUAGUAGCAGCAAUAGAAGUAACAGGAGCAAUAGAAGUAGCAGAAGUAUUACUACUAGUAGUAGCAUUAGUAGUAGUAGUAGUAGUAUUAGUAUUAGUAGUAGUAGUAGUAAUAGUAGUAGUGUAGUAGUAAUAGUAGUAGUAGUACCUAUAAAUACCCAUGUACUUGAAGACUUUUAGCAUCAACCACAAAUCAAAACUUGAGUUUCUCAAUUCAUCUCUCUUACUUUAUCCUCUCAU